AGAAAGACUCCUGAUUGUGGGUGAAGAGAUCUGAGGUUUGGUCUCUGGUGCCAUCACUCAUGAGGGAACCUUGGGUUCAUCUCUAGUCGGCUUCAGGUUCCCUUUCCAAGAGAGUCAGGAAGAAAGUCCAACAGGAGCUUUGCCAGUUCUGACAUUCUCUCACGUGAAUACACACAGCUUGCGUGGCAGCAUUCUGGUCUCAUGUCUUAGUCACAAAGGUACUCCACUGCAUCAGAAUAUUUUCCUUGGCUGUGACCUCAGGCCAGGCCAUAGGUCAGGACAGAAGAUAACACAGGGACCAUAUUGCUAUGGAGAAGAAAACAAGAAGCUAUCUGUUUUUCAAACAUAGAUGUGGAAUUAGGAAGUGAGAAAGAAAUGGAAUCUGGACUCAUCCAGUGGACUGGCAUGAUGUGCUGAGGCAGUUGUCUUGAACAUAUCAGUUCCAGCUGCUGAAACACUGGGACCAUAGAGGGGUGAUGGAAAUAAGAAGAUGAAGGUCAAUUAGGACCACGGUGGGGUUGGGGAAGACAAAGGCUUUGGUUUCUCUCUGAUGGGAUGCUGAUGGGAUGUUCAUUGCAGGGGCGAUUCUGGAACUGAGUUUCAGAAUGAGCUUUCACGGGCUAGGUGAAAUCACACACUAAAGGCUAGGAGUGGUCCAGGAGGCAAAAGCAACAGAUCAGGGAGAGGUCAGAAGCCGGAACCAGGGUAGUGGCAAUGGGGUAGGAAAGAGAAGGACGUGGGCAGCAGAAUGGCUACAGUUUGGGAAUUAUCUGGACACCAGGGUAGCAUUCUGAUCAGUUUUAUAUCAACUUGGCACAAUCCAGAGUCAUUUAGAGUCAGACUCUAAACUGAGAAAUGCCUCCCUAAGGUUGGGCAAUAGGCAAGUGUGAGAUCUAUUUUUAAUUAAUGCUUGAUGUGGAUGGAAGUGGCAGUGGGGGGUUCAUCUGGGUAGUAUAAGCAAGCCAUGAGGAGCAAGUCGGUAAGCAGCGUUCUCCAUGGCCUCUGCUUCAGCUGCUGCCUCCAGGGACCUGCCUUGAGUUCCUGGCCUGCCCUCCCUUACUGAUAAAACACGACCUGAAAGUUAUAAGG
rnacentral:lncRNA from 1 species